rnacentral:rRNA from 1 species
ACGAACGCUGGCGGCGUGCCUAAUACAUGCAAGUAGAACGCUGAAGAGAGGAGCUUGCUCUUCUUGGAUGAGUUGCGAACGGGUGAGUAACGCGUAGGUAACCUGCCUUGUAGCGGGGGAUAACUAUUGGAAACGAUAGCUAAUACCGCAUAACAAUAGGUGACACAUGUCAUUUAUUUGAAAGGGGCAAUUGCUCCACUACAAGAUGGACCUGCGUUGUAUUAGCUAGUAGGUGAGGUAACGGCUCACCUAGGCGACGAUACAUAGCCGACCUGAGAGGGUGAUCGGCCACACUGGGACUGAGACACGGCCCAGACUCCUACGGGAGGCAGCAGUAGGGAAUCUUCGGCAAUGGGGGCAACCCUGACCGAGCAACGCCGCGUGAGUGAAGAAGGUUUUCGGAUCGUAAAGCUCUGUUGUAAGUCAAGAACGAGUGUGAGAGUGGAAAGUUCACACUGUGACGGUAGCUUACCAGAAAGGGACGGCUAACUACGUGCCAGCAGCCGCGGUAAUACGUAGGUCCCGAGCGUUGUCCGGAUUUAUUGGGCGUAAAGCGAGCGCAGGCGGUUUGAUAAGUCUGAAGUUAAAGGCUGUGGCUCAACCAUAGUUCGCUUUGGAAACUGUCAAACUUGAGUGCAGAAGGGGAGAGUGGAAUUCCAUGUGUAGCGGUGAAAUGCGUAGAUAUAUGGAGGAACACCGGUGGCGAAAGCGGCUCUCUGGUCUGUAACUGACGCUGAGGCUCGAAAGCGUGGGGAGCGAACAGGAUUAGAUACCCUGGUAGUCCACGCCGUAAACGAUGAGUGCUAGGUGUUGGAUCCUUUCCGGGAUUCAGUGCCGCAGCUAACGCAUUAAGCACUCCGCCUGGGGAGUACGACCGCAAGGUUGAAACUCAAAGGAAUUGACGGGGGCCCGCACAAGCGGUGGAGCAUGUGGUUUAAUUCGAAGCAACGCGAAGAACCUUACCAGGUCUUGACAUCCCGAUGCUAUUUCUAGAGAUAGAAAGUUACUUCGGUACAUCGGUGACAGGUGGUGCAUGGUUGUCGUCAGCUCGUGUCGUGGGAUGUUGGGUUAAGUCCCGCAACGAGCGCAACCCCUAUUGUUAGUUGCCAUCAUUCAGUUGGGCACUCUAGCGAGACUGCCGGUAAUAAACCGGAGGAAGGUGGGGAUGACGUCAAAUCAUCAUGCCCCUUAUGACCUGGGCUACACACGUGCUACAAUGGUUGGUACAACGAGUUGCGAGUCGGUGACGGCAAGCUAAUCUCUUAAAGCCAAUCUCAGUUCGGAUUGUAGGCUGCAACUCGCCUACAUGAAGUCGGAAUCGCUAGUAAUCGCGGAUCAGCACGCCGCGGUGAAUACGUUCCCGGGCCUUGUACACACCGCCCGUCACACCACGAGAGUUUGUAACACCCGAAGUCGGUGAGGUAACCUUUUGGAGCCAGCCGCCUAAGGUGGGAUAGAUGAUUGGGGUGAAGUC